UAAAAUCAUAUUUGUAUGGAUUUGGAACGUUUGCUUACGUUUGUCGCUAGGGGCGCUGUUCCAACUGCAUACAAAUUUGAGUUA
rfam:Bombyx mori DNA, contig: Bm_scaf2_contig2086, strain: p50T/Dazao, build 2, whole genome shotgun sequence.